UACGGGGGGGAGCAAGCGUUGUUCGGAUUUACUGGGCGUAAAGGGCGCGUAGGCGGCCACCGCAAGUCGACUGUGAAAUCUCCGGGCUUAACCCGGAAAGGUCAGCCGAUACUGCGGGGCUAGAGUGCAGAAGGGGCAACUGGAAUUCUCGGUGUAGCGGUGAAAUGCGUAGAUAUCGAGAGGAACACCGGUGGCGAAGGCGGCGACCUGGGUAGAUACUGACGCUGAGGUGCGAAAGCGUGGGGAGCAAACAGG
rnacentral:rRNA from 1 species